GACCCAGGGAUCGAACCCAGGUCUCCCGCAUUGUAGACAUACGCUUUACCAUCUGAGCCACUGGGGAAGUCCUACCUAUUAUUAAGGAAUAUAAUAAAAAGUUAAUGCAUUUUCAUUUCCUUAAUACCACAACCACCCAGAAAUGUAGCACCAACAUGGAACAAAAACUGUUAUAUACAAAUGACCAUGUAUAUGUACACUUCUUUCCAGAAUAGUAAGAUCCUUUCCUGUUAAUGUACAAUAAACAGUCUCAGUUAGAUUUUAAUAAUAAUCCAUUUUGAGCUCUCUUUAUAAAAAUAAAGGUAUGAUAAUAUUAUUCCCUGAAUAACACGAUAAAUCAGUACGUGAAUGAAUCCCUAAAUCCACAUAGUGGUGAAUGGGUGAGAUUGUCUCGUUAAAAAAAAUGUCCAGUUCCAUAGAAGUAAGUCCAAUAAGGUGAUCCUUGGCUCUUCCUGUAAGUAGCAGGUAAAGUGAGAUAUCUCUGAUUGUAGUUUGUUGAGCAGUGAAUUCGGUGGUAUUCAUAUUAUUUAACAGCCAAACUUAAGUAAAUGAAAAAGUACCCUUCUUAGGAAAAUGAUGAGAAUAUGAUAUAAAGUAGAGUUUAUGAUUAAUCUAGUCUUCCCUACAAAUAUCAAUUUUAAAAAAGCUAAGUCUAUUUUUAGAGUUUUUAAUAAUAGACUUUUUUUUCCCCUUUAUAAAAUGAACACUACACAGCUGACUUAAUUAGCUUUAAUGGUGAAGACCCUGGCUAUUACUUCUGGGACUAAGGAGCUUAAAGACUGAAAUAAGGAAAUAUCAGUGUUGGUGUUCUAAGCUCCGAUGGGGAUUAUUAAUGGGAUCCCACUGAAUUAUUUCAAUAAAAUAAAUAGUCAAAUAGCACAUGAAAUUAAGGAAUGCCAAUUAUGAGCCCAUGAUUGGAAUGUGUCAUAAAUUAACAUUUAUGAUUAAUUCAACUCAGCCCCACUAGGGAUCAUUCAUUACUAAAGGGAUGCAAGGAAUUUCACAUAUUUUCAGAGCAGUAUUAUAUUAACUUCCUACUUAAUAUUCUGGCCACAUUUGCUAAAUCCAUUUCUUCAUUGAUUAAGAUUCAGUUGUUAACUCUUUGAGGCUGGAGUGCUGUGGAGGAUGGCAGAUGUCUUUUUUGUCGGUUGUGGGCUAAGAUCAUAGCGCUGUUCCUGUUGAUCACCAGCUUUAAUAUAAUGACAAAUCAAGUGGAAAAGGAGCAGGUGGGCACUGAUCUCAAGGAAGGGACUGAUAGGAAGUAAGUGUGCUGAUUAACUCCUGUGUGCAAAAACAGAGCCUUAUUGUGAAAAGUGAUUGAGUCUAUUCACGCUACAUUAACAGGGCCACGAACAGAUCUUGAUUGUGUUCAAGCCUUUGUUCUUAGUUUGAUGUCACUGCAGCUUAUUGAUUGUGUAGUUAUUAUUCGUGAAUCUGUGAACGAAUGAAUCAGUUCAGGAAGGGAUAAGUGGAUUAAGAAAUAGAAAGUUAUGCCUGGGUCAGUGAUGGCUAUUGGUGAAAGUGAAUGAAUCCAUGACAUUGAGUGUGCCUUCUGUGUAACUCUGAGGUCCAUUCUGUAUAAUCAAUCAAUAUUCUUUGUAGAAAUUAAGUAGUAGAAGAAGUUAGGAAAAGACAGUGAGGCUUUUCUUAGGCUUUUGUGGUUCAUGGAUGUGGAUUGUAUUAUUGCAAAUGAAUCAGCAGGUGAAUAAAGAAAGAAUUGUACAUCUGAAAUAGGAAGAGACCUGCUCCUGGAACAAUUAGUAGAAUGGCAUAAAAUAAGUAUUAAUGUUAAUAUGGUCUUGAAGUAAAAUGAACAGGUUUAAUUUGUAGUCCUCUUUCACAUGGAAUGUAUUAGUAUCUGUGGUCAAGAGGCAAUGUUUUGAGUUUGGUACAAUGCUGUCUGUUUUUUUUUUCUUUUAAGUAAGAAACGAAAAGGUGUUUGCCUAUCACUAUAAAAAAUAGUUAUAGUUAUUUUUCUGGUGUUUACUGCUAGAUUCAGUGGUAUCCAUCAUAUUUUUAAAGUUACCAUAACUUAGAGGCUUCCCUGGUGCCUCAGAUGGUAAAGAAUCCACCUGCAACGCAGAAUACCUAGGUUCAAUCCCUUGGUCAGGAAGAUCCCCUGGAGAAGGGAAUGGCUACCCACUCCAGUAUUCUUGCCUGGAGAAUCCCAUGAACAGAGGAGCCUGGCAGGCUACAGUGGAUAGAUUGCAAAGAGUCGAACAAGACUGAGUGACUUUACUAACAUAUACUUGACAUUUGGAUAUUUUUAAUCAUUUGGUUCAGUCACUCAGUCGUGUCUGUCACUUUGCGACCCCAUGGACAGCAGCAUGCCAGGCGUCCCUGUCCAUCACCUACAGAUCUUAAUCGGGGCUUGGUGGCGGACUUAAUAAUGUUUAUUAUAUUAUUCAUAACUAAAAAUUCAAUACUGGAUUAGUAAAAAAUUGCAUUUGAGCCAAAGUUUAUGGUUAUCUAGUUCUGCCUGACUAACAAUCAUUAAAAAAAAAAAUCAAAAUCUAGUCUAAAUCAGCUUUUUUCCUCCCCAGAGUGAACACAGGACAGCUGAUUUAAUCACUUAAUAAAGAAUUUUUAUUGUGAGCAAGCAGCAUAAAGUCUAAUAUAAUAUACAGCAGAAGUUCAGAAUAUUCAGAUAUCUGGAUCACAGACGGCUUCUGGAGAUAGAUUGAUUUCUCCAAGUAAAUCAAUGCAUGAGUAAAGGAAGAAAUGUAAAGAUGGAAUGAAGACUGGCUGCUUCAAUCGGUCUUCUCUGAGGAAGAUCUUGGCUGUUACCUUUGUAGAAUGGAUGCUCAAUGAUUCAAUUAAGGACUGUAGAAACUUACGUAAGUAACAAAGUAAUUGCUUCUGGUUUGGUGGUUUGUCAUGGGUGUUAACUCUAUUAUUGGAAGGGAUAAAUGGCUACAAGUACAAAUUAAAUGAAUGGAGGUCUUAUGUAGGCCAAUUCAGUACAUCUGUGGUCAAUUAAGGAGAAAAAAGGAAGACCGUUUUAUUUAUUUUCACAGUUAAUUACUCAAUUAAUUAAUGUACAAUGUAUUAUCAAUUUUACUUUGAAUCACAGUUGAUUUAAGCCUCCCUCUAUAAAGACGUAGUUUUGUCACGUAAGGCUAUCUGUGCUUGAAGAUCAAAGGAACUGUUAAAUGACUCACUCAAGGACAGGGAUCGGAAACAGUUUAGAUAGGAUCAAACCCUGAUUCUUUUCAUAUCACAUAUUGUGAUCUCUAGUCAAACACAAAGUUUCCCCACACUUAGUCAAUUUCAAGAUCCCUGUAUUUAUUGAAAAAAAUUUGUGUAUAAAUGGACCCAGACAAUUUAAACUUGUGUUGUUCAAGGGUCAACUGUAUACAAAUAAAUGAAGAGUGUAAAGCAUUGUCCAACUCUGGUAAUGUCUCAGGAAGUAAGAGAAUCUGUAAAUAAAUGUUAAAAAGACUGGUUCAGCUCCGAAAGACAUGGUUUUAUGUUACAUCUUUGGCUAAUGAUGCUAUAGAAAGUGCAAGUAAUAAUUACUCUUACUAUUCUGGCUCAGUGUUAAGCUUGAUGUUCACUUUCUUGAGGGAAACAUCAGUAAAUAUUAACCCUAAUAAAUAAAUACCUAAAACUACUGAUGUAAUGAAAGAUGAAAUGCAUGCAUUAAUGAACAUGAUAUCUUUGUUCUUUUCAUUUUCUCUGCUUUGUACUCGGAGUGGGUGUGCCAAGCUAAUUUUAAGGAUCUUUCCUGGUCAGGAGCUCUAGAAUGGAUGCCUAUUAGCAGAUUUCAGCAUCUCCCAUGGUCAUGUGCUCUGCAGACCAAGAAUGGACCAUUGGAGCUGGUUGAAAAGCUCUUUCACGGACGUGCUCUCUGGUUGCCUCCAUGCCUUUGGUGUAUAGAGGCCCAUAAAGAGAACCCGGAAGUUCAUGGUGGCCUCACUGUAGCAGCGUUAAGCCCCCUAAUCAAUGCACUCAAGCGGAUGUAUGCGUUUUCCAUGAUUUCCUUUGUGUGUUGAGAGCCUAGAGAAGAAUAAUGGACGCACACCAGUGGGUUUAAGUAUCUUCCAUGGUCUUGGGCUCUGUAGACUGAUAAUGGAUGCACCUGAAUUUAUUAAGCAUUCGACUGUGAUCAGGGCCUCUGCUGGUUUUCCUGUGUAUAAAUACAUGUGGGUCAUAAUGGAUCCUACAAGCUGAUUUCAGCUUCUGCUCUGAUUAAGAUCAUCAUGUUGCCUCUGUCAGGAGGGCGACAAAGGUUUUCCCUAAAGAUUCCUUAGUUGAUAGCAGUGUAAGCUAUUUUCAUCAUGAGGAAGAGCACACUGGAGAUGAGACGCAGGAGACGUGGGUUCGAUCCCUGGGUAAGGAAGAUCCCCUGGAAGAGGGCAUGGCAGCCCAGUCCAGUAUUCUUGCCUGGAGAAUCCCAUGGGCAGAGGAGCCUGGCAGGCUACAGUCCAUACGGUCACAUAGAGUCAGACCCGCACAACGCGUUCACAUUAUGAAAAAAAGGCCUACCAUGGACCAAUGAUGGGAAUGGAAUGCAUUUUGAAAUAUUUUUUUAUGAUCAAAACACCUAAAAACUACUGAGGUCCAUGACAAAAAAAUUAUGUUUACAUCUGUGGAAAGGGAGAGACUUCAGUAAUGUUCAAGGAUUGUAUUGUUAGUCUUUGGUGCUGCAUGAAUUUUGAUUUUAUUAUCUUAAAUAAUUAAAUGGAAGAAUAAACAAAUAUGUCAGUGUAUAAAAUGAAAAGGGUGAAGCAUAUCCAAAUAUGAAAAUAUGUGGUGAGGCAUGAAUUACGAUUAAUAUAACUUAGACCCUCAUUAAGGAGGUCCUCAUUAAUCAAUAAAUGGAUCAGGAGAUUACAGUUUGGGGAACAAUGAUAGAGGCAGGGGAACAUAUUAAUCUGUUCUUGCUUUGAGUCUGAGUCUGAGUUCAAGUAGUUUGUUUACUUUAGAAAAAAAUAAAUAAAUCACUAUAAAAUUAUAAAUACAUAAAUGACUGAGAAAAUGCCAUGAGAAAAGCAGGUAUUCAUGGGAUGAAUGUCUCAAGAUUUUCUUAUCUGCAUUGCUUAUACUCAGAAUGAACUGAACUAAUGUAACCCUUCUGCCAUGGCAGUGAAUUCUGUAUUAGGAGCAAAGAGACAAAUGUGAGUAACAGGCCAAGCUCUUAUCCUGGUGGGGGUGUCUUGUUUAAGAAUAUUCGCUGUUUUGUUAAAAACAUGCAUUAAGUAUAAUCUAAGAAGUUAGCUGCGGCCCAUUAUGGAAUUCAUAUGUCACCCAUGGUCCUUAAUGAGUAGAUGCAAACCUAUACUGAGAAUUGCUGAGGGAAAUUAUUGUAUGUACAGAUGUUAAGGAUACUUGAGGCUCUUGUUCUUGAGGUUCCUUGCUUCUUGUAAAUUUUUAAAUUAAUAUUAGUCAAUUAAAAAUUGAAAAUCAACAAGUGUGCAGAUGAAUGAGGGAAAAGAGGGCAAAUCGUGGACCGACAAAGGAUAGCUAGUAGAGUAUGAAUCAGGGGUGAUGGAUGGCCUGUAUCUGGCACUGAGUUGUACUAUACAGAAAGAGAUCUAGUCUAUUGUCUCUGGUGGAUGUGAUCCUGAGGCAGGCUAGGAAUGCUAGUCCUAGAAUUUAGUCCUGGACAAAGUUCAUGGACCUUAGUGGUUCGUGAAUUUUGAUGGCAUUAUUACUACAAAAAAAAUCAAUAACCAAUCUAUUCAAUUACUUGAGUAAAUAAAGAGGAAGAGGGUAAAGUGUUGUUCAAUUAUGGAAGACGAGACAACAAAUACUAUUAAUUUAAUUUGAAAGUAUGAGUAUUUUUUAAGAAAUAAUUGGAUCAAGGGUAUUACCUCUUUAGCUAACUAUCUCAUGCAUAGGCAGAGAUAAUAUAUAGUCACUGUUAAUGCUCCGUGUCAGUAGUGAGUUAAGAGUUGUUCUUUUUUAGGACAUGAGACAGAAUUAUUAACAUCAAUUAGUAUAUAUUUAAAUGACUAAGGAAAUGAAAUGUGGAAGCAGUGAUCAAUGGACCUAAGGCCUGAAUUAUUUUAUCAUCUGCUAUGCUUUGCACUCCUCAGGAUGGGUUCUCAAUGCUGUUCAAGUUUCUACCAUGAUUCCUGUGAUCAAAAAAUUUAUGGCUGCAUCUAUGUGUAGGAACCAGUAACAGAUACUGGAGUGGACUUCAGCUUCUGCCACAGUGAAGAUUAUCAUAAUGUCUCUGUCAGGAAAGAGGCCAAGACUGGACAUACUUGAGAUGAUUUAACCAUCUUCCAUGAUCCCAAGCCCUUUGGUUGCCUCUAUACAUUCAUUAGAAGUAUGGAUGCCACUAAUGGAUGCCCUUGAGCUGACUUAAGCAUCUUCCAGGGUCUGGAGCCCUGUGGGUACAUCUGUAUGUGAGGACAGUGGAGAACAAUGUGAGUACUAGUCAAUGUACUUGUCUUGGAUUAAGCCGUAUUUUAAAAAGAUAUUAUUAAAAAUUAAAUAUCAUAAAAAAUUCCAAAAAUCUUAUGUCAAAUACCAUUGAUACAAAGCAGUAUGACAAUUAAUCCAUAUAUGAAGCACUGAGAUCAGUUAAUGAAAGAGUUGAGUGUCAGCGGAAAUGAUUGUUUAGAUGGAUGUCAAAGAUAUUCAAGGGUCUUACUCAUGAUUUAUUUGUGUAACUUAUGCUCACUUAAAUAAUAAUGAAUUAAUAAAUGUAGAUGUUAGUAGGGAAUGGAGCCCUUCCUGGACCAUAUGACUGGAAGCAUGGGAGUCUAUGGUAUAUACUGUGUAUCUAUAACCCUGAUUCCUCACAAAGCAAAAUCUAGUCAAUCUUUGAUUUUAAAUGACCCCAGAGAUGGAUGUUAGGAAAGCACAAACAUCUUAUUUCAUUUUGGAGUUUACAAAUUUAGAUGUAUUAAUGAUAAUCAAUAAGCAAACCAUUAAAAAUGUAAAAGAACACAUAAAAAGAAGAAAGGGAAGCAUUGUCCACUAGGAACAUAUGUGGUGAGGUAAGAAAUAUUAUUAAUAAAAUUGAAAACAUUCAUACCCAUUAAGCUAAGCACUUUGCCUUCUUACUGAAAAGGUCGUAAAGACACUGAUAUGGAAGAGUCAACAUUAUUGUUCUGGGCCAGUUUCAAGUUUAAGUGUUUCUUUUGUUAAGAGAAAAAAAUGCUACACUAUGAAAAAUUAAUAAAUGCCUAAAUGAGUAAAUGAAAGGUGGAAAACAAGGAUCAGUGGCAAUAAGGUCUGCAUUUUAUCAUGUUCUCUGCUCUGUGCUCCUUAGAAUGGGUACUCUUAAACUGGUAGAAGCAUUCUUCCACAGUCAUGAGAUCUCUGGUUGUAUUCAUGUGUUAGGACUGUGGAGGCCAUAUGAGUAGUAGAGAAAAUUUGGUCUUAGUUUCAAUGUUUUGUUUAAAGGUAUUGACUUUAUUAUUGCAAACUGUGACAUACAAUCAAUGAAAUCCAAAUAGCCCAGUGUGAAAUAUGGGAUUAAUAUGAAGCAUUAUAUGAUUGAUUCAUAUAAUGAAAACAGAAUAAUUAAAGAAAUAUUGACAUGAAAGUGGUUCUAUAUAUGAGAUUUCUAAGCUUUUUUGUGGUUUCAAUAAAACCAUUUAAAAAUUAUUACUGAAUUAUGAAUUGAGCAAUAAACAAUAUAGAAAUAAUGAAUUAAAAGAGGUACGACAUUGAAUCGAUGAUAACUUCUGGUGGUAUAUGAGUUGUGUCUGAUAAAUACAAGUCUAGAACUCUGAGGUCUAAUGCAAAAGAAUUCUCUUACAUUUUCAUUCUUAAUUAUAAUUGAACCAAUGAAAGAAUCAAUCAAUAAAUAUGUCAAUCAAUGAAGAGAAAGUGUCCAUAUUUUAUCACACUCUCUAUUUAAUACUUUUCAGAAUCAAAGUUCAAGCCUUUAUUGUGAUCAGAGUUAUCAUUUUCAUGUUGCUAUGGGACAGAGACCCAGGGGAGUAAUGGCCAAGAUUUCCAUCUUGGUUUGGGAAAUUAGCUGAAGUGUUUUCAUUGUAAUAAGUUCAAUCAAGGACUUCCUUGGUGGUCCCCUAGUUAGUAGUUAAGUUCACCUUCCAAGGCAGGGGUGCAGGUUUGAUACCUGGUUGGAGAGCUAAGAUCCCAAAUGCCUCAUGACCAAAAUACCAAAACAUAAAAAGAAAAGUAAUAUUGUAACAAAUUUAAUAAAGACUCUAAAAAUGGUCCACAUCAAAAAAUCUUAAAAAAAAAAGUCAUGGUUUCUGGAUCGAUGAUGAUCCAUGCCAGUGUAUGAGCCAUCAAUGAUGAAUAAUACAUGUCUGGAACUGUAAGGUCCAAUAGAAAAGAAAUACGGUCUUUCUCUUCAUGGAUUUUCAUUGGUUCCUUGAUGGUGGUAGUGAUUGGAGAGAAGUUUGAGAUAUUCAAGGGUCUUUUUGCUGUGUUUGGGGUCAUCCUGCUUUUAUUUCAUCAGUAUUGAUGCCAUGAUGAUUUAUAUAAUCCGAAUGAAUGAAUGAAAGACCUACAGCUGGGCCUAAGGGACCCAAAGAUGAACUUGGGUAGAGGAUGAGGGGUGGGCAAGUAACCCAGAGUAUCUGGAAGCCUGAGGGCCAUGACAGCACAUCCCCUCUUGUCUACCUUUUUUUCUUCAUGUGGACAGAUACUGGGAAUCUAUAAAGUCAUAUUCUUAGGUUGGGUUAGUGAAUUUAGAUUUCUUGUUAUCAAAAGACAGGUCCCUUGAAAGGAUAUACCUACUAGAUUGAGUAGAAAAGGUCAGUUAGUGUCUCCUCUGGACACUUGCGGUCCGGCAAGAAAUAAUGAUAAAAACUGCCUCUGUGGAUACACAUUUAGCAACAAUGCACCUAAGAGGUCAACUGCUUGGCAAAGCGUCCUGUAGAUGUAGCACUGGAAGACUCACUUGCAUUGUUCGUACACUCUCAAAUUUGAGUAUAGUUUUAUUUCUAGAAAGCAAUAUCUUUGCAUUAUGAAAUAGGUAUUAAUUCCUCAUGAUUCAGAUCAUGAAAUUUGGAGUGGAAGAAUCAGUGACCCUAAAUUUUUUUUUCUCUCUCUUUUUCUUUGGUUUUCAUGGACUGGACUCUAUUCGUGAGAAUUGACACUUUUGAGCUGAAUAAACCGUCAGUAGUCCGUGGUCAUGAACCUUAUGAUUGUAGAAGCCCGUAGUGAAUGCAUGGGAUCUGAUGGAGGGAUUCCUCGUGGAGCACCAGCCUAGGAUGGCAUCUUUGCUGUUGGAACCAUAGAACCUAGACCCACGAAGAGUCCUGAAGGAUGAAAACAUUUCUGAAGUGUCUUUCUGAGAUCCGACACAGAACAUAAGUAGUCUAUGUCCUUUGUUGAAAUUGUUUUUAUAAGGAGUUGUCUGGAAUACAAAAAGAUCAUAUGUUUGUUAAUUUCAUAGUUAUAGUACUUAUUAACAAUGAAUCUAUGAUGAAAUCAUUAAACUCAUAAAUAAACAUGUAAGGAAAACUUGUGAAAGUGUUCUCAUAUGAGUAUCUUCUUUUUAGACAAGCUAUUGUGAAUAAAAAUUCAAAAUUCUGAAUCCCAUUAAACUGGUGAGGGUCACCCCUUUGGCCAGAAUGCUAUAGACAUGCUUAUAUAAUAGCCAUGUAUUUAUUCUUUUUCAGACUAGAGAUUGAAAUUUUCUUUUAAUCAGUUUAAGAAAAAAACAUAGGAAGAGUAAAUAAUGAAUACCUGAGUGUGGUAUAAAUGAAAUGCCCCAAGUAAGGGUCAGCGGUGAUUUGGUCUCAAUAUCUUGACCCUCCUCUGUGUUUUGUGCUCCGUAGAAUGAAUGCACCAGCAAUGAUUUAGCAUCUGUCAUGGGCACCAGACCUGCGGUUGCCUCUGAAGAAUAAGAGAAUGGAGAUUAAUAAGGGGUGUUCCUGCUGCUUCAGCCUUCACUGUGUUCAAUCAUCGGCUGCCUCUGUGUCAGGAAAGCCCUAAGGAUGAAUGCAGUAGAAUGAUUUAACAUCUUUCAUGGACGCAAGCUCUGUAGUUGCCUCUGUAUAAUAGGACGAUGGAGAUUAAUGGCGAGCAUGAGACCUGAAGGAAGGAUUCCUCAUGGGGCAUCUGCUUAGGAUGGCAUCUUCGUUGUUGGAACCAGAGACCCGUAACAGAAGCUCAAGGUGAUUUCAGCCUCUACUAUGAUCAAUAUCAUUUUCAGGAAAGAGCAAGUGUAUUAUUUGAAUUUCCAUGUACAAUAACCAAGGAGCAAUGCAGCUCAGUGAGUGGAUGCAUGGGACCUGAAGGAAGGAUUCUUUCUGGAGCACCAGCCCAUGAUGGCAUCUUUGUUGUAGGAGCCAGGAGACCUAUAAUAGAAGCUCAAGGUGACUUUAGCCUCCAUGGUGAUCAAGGUCAUGAGCUUCAGAUUGCUAUGGGUCGGAGAUCCAGUCUUUCCCAGCAUCAGGGUUUUUUCCAGUGAGUCAGUUCGGCUGAUUAAGCAUUAUUCCAUGGUGCUGCACCUUAUGACUGUACCUCUGUGUUAGGUACACAGAGACCAAUGUGAGUAAGAAUUUUUUUGUCUCGGUUUUGUUCAUUUCUUUUUGUUGGUUUCUGCGUGUGUGUGUGUAUGUGUAUAUAUUCAGUGUAUUGGCUGAAUGUUCCAUAUAGAAUAACAGAAGGCCAAGUCUAUCUCAGUGAUAACUAUUGAAAUUUAUGACACAUUAAUUGAUUACUGCAUAGGUGAAAAACAGCAUCUAAUUUAAAAGAGAUACAUUGUUGUAAGAAUGAUCUAUUUACGUCUUAGGAAUAUCAUGACUUUUCUAGAGUUUUGUGAAUAAUAGGAUUUUUAAAUUAUCACUAGUGAAUUACUGAGUUAGUCAAUAAACAGAAUUGAACAAAGAGUGGAGUCUCAGUCGUGGACCAAUGAUGAUGAUCGUUUCGGGAAGAGUCCUAAACGAUGAAAAUAUGGCUAUAACUCUGAGGUCCAUGAUACAUAAGUACUAUUUUCCCUCUGAUGAGAAACUGUUUCUUUUGUGAGAUUUCAGGAAUAUAAAGAGAUCAUAUUCUUAUAUUAAGUGUUUAAGUAAGAAUAAUUCUGUAUAUAUCAUCUCUUUUUAAAAAAAUUGUGCUGAUAAAAUUAUUAGUGAAUUUGUGAUUCAAAAAUUAAACAGAAACGUAUUUGAAUGAGAUGGACAGUAAUGGAUGGAUGGUAACUCCCUGAGGUGUACGAGUUGUGUGCGAUGAGUGUGAGUCUGGAACUCUGAGGUUUGAUGCAAAUGAAAUCAAGUCCACUGUCGUGUGUGAAGUGACCUUUUUGUCAGUGGUUAGGAAUAUACAAAGAUAUUUAUUUUGGUUAUUAUCAACAUGCAUUUUUUUCUAUUUUUAUAAUUGGAUCAAUGAAAUAAUCAAUAUACAAAUGUAUAAGAUAAAAAUGAUGACUAUGUAGCCUUUUCAAUUAUAAAAAUAUGUGGUUAGGUAAAAAUUACUAUUAUAUAUAUAUUGAAAAGACUGAUAAUCAAUAGGAAAGAUAUGUUAUGAGGGUAUUACCUCUUUGGCUAAGGGUGAUACAGAAAGUGACAGGUAUUAGUUACUGGCUGAGUCAGUUACAAGUUUGACAAUUGAUUUUCUAAGGGGAAAAACAAAUACGAGCAUAAUUUAGUUGAUGCCUCAGCUACUAUGCAAAUGAAUAGUCAGAUUCUUGGAUCAAUGGAAAGACUAUCUAAGUAGUUUUACCACCUUGUGUGUUUGUUAUUUUGUAGGACCGAUGUUCCUGAUACUUCAGGGUUUGUUGUGCUCAGUUGUCACACCAGCUGUGUUAGGGAGGAGAAUAAGGUGAUGAUGGACAGGCUGUCGUCUUAGAUUGGGCGAUUUGUCUGAGGGUCCUCAUGGUGUUGUUAAAAAGUAUUAAAUUAAUCAAAAAAUUACCAUAGUUCAAUGAUAAAUAAUCAAGAAUGAUUAUUUCAAAUAAUUGAUAAUGGGCAGAAUAGAGGUCGAAAAUUGGUUGAGAAGACUCCUGAUGAUAACUGAUCCUGUAACCUGAGGUUAGGGGUAUUGAAGGGUGUCAUUCUUGGGAUACUUAUUUUUAUUAUCACAAUUAUUAUUUUUAUUAUUAUUAAACUAUUGCCAUUAUUAAAUGGAGAAGGAAAUGGCAACCCACUCCAGUUUUCUUGCCUGGAGAAUCCCAUGGACAGAGGAGCCUAGUGGACUGCAAUCCAUGGGGUUGAAAAGAGUCAGACAUGAAAAUGAACAAAGAAAAGAGACUUAAUCGUGGGCCAGUGAUGAUGAUCGUGAUGGGAAGAGUCCUAAAUGAUGAAAACACGUCUCAGACUCUGAGGUCCAACUCAGAACGUCAGUAGUCUCUUCCUUCUGGUAAAAUUGUUUCUGUAGAGAUAUCAGGAAUAUAGGUAAGUUAUAUUCUUCUUUUGAUUUCAUAGACUUAAAUUUGUUACUAUUAAUGGAUCUCUGAAGAACCAUUAAGCAAAUGUAACAAAGUGAAGCACUGUCCAAAUAGGAACAUAUUGAGUGAGACAAGAUACCAUAAUAAACACUGAAAACACUGAAUCAUAUUCAAUAAAUGAGUGAGGGUCACAUCUUUGACCAAGGUUAGAUAGAAAUGCAGGAAAGUGAAAAUAUUAGCCACUCAGUCAUGUCUGGCUCUUUGUGACCCCAGAGACUGAAACCUACCAGGCUUUUCUGUCCAUGGGAUUCUCCAGGCAAGACUACUGGAGUGGGUUGCCACUUCCUUCCCCAGGGGAUCUUCCUGAGCCAGGGGUUGAACCUGGGUCUCCUGCACUGCAGACAGACUCUUUACCGACUGAGCCACCAGGGAAGCCCUAGAAAUGAACAAGAGACAGUUCAGUAGUUUUGCUUCAAAAUGAAGAUUGAGUGUUUUGUUUUAACAAGAUUAAAGGCAUGUGAACAGAAAGGAAAAGUAAUACAUUCCUAAAUACUGAGUAAACCAAGUGUAGUAAACAAGAACCAGUGCUUAUUAGGUGUCAAUACUUUUAUUAUUAUCUGUGCUCUGUACUCCUCAGAAAGAAGCCAGCACAGAUGAUUUAGCAUCUUCCAUGGACAGAAACUCUGGGUUCGCCUCUGUAUAAUAGGAAGGUGGAGAUUAAUACCCUACACCCUCGAGCUGAUUUAAGCGGUGGCACCGUGGCACUGACCUCUGUGUUUGCAUCUGCGUUAGGAGCACAGAGACCAGUUUUUAUCUUCUCCUCCUUAGGCUUGUCACCGUGGGCUAAUGUAAGGCUUCCUCGUGGUCAUGAAUUCUGUGGUUGCAUUUGAUGUGUUAAGGGUUAGGAGAACAAAAUGCUGAAACUGAUUUUAGCCUCUGUUGUUACCAAGAUUGUGAGACCAAGAACAGAUGCAUCUUCCACCGUCAUGAGCUCUCCGGUUGCCUGUGUCUAAUAGGAAUACAGAGAUUAAUGAUGGACAUGAACUACUAAUCAUUCUCUAAUGAUCAAGACCUUCAUGGUUGAAGGGUGGAUCGACUGUAGCUCAUUAAGUUAUUCUCCAACCAUGAAGAGCUUUGCCUAAUGCCUCUGGGGAAGGAGCACACCAUGCCAUGAAGGACAGCAAGGUGUGCCUUUGGGGACAUCACCAGGCCUCUCCAUGUCCCAUGCCCGUCAUCUGUAAAAGGGAAGUCAAAUUUCAUUCAUUGAUUCUGCCAGCAUAUUGAAAGUGUAAAGAGCUGUGCCCUGGCUGGAGCACGUGCCCCUGCGUGCAGCUCCCUGCCCCGUGCAGCGUGUGAGCUCCGUGUCACGUGUUCUUCUCCCAUCCCUGCCCUUUGAGCCUCAGCGGUGCUGUGGGCUUUCCCUCCCGCGCAGAAUCUCCCCACUGGCCUCCUCUUCCUCACGUCUUCCCUCCCCCGGUCUCCCAGGACCUUGGUCUCCCCCAGGGACCCUCUCAGGGGUGUUGCCUCCUUCUUUUCAUCACCUGAGUCUCGCAGUUGUAGCCAGAGGCUGCCUAGCCUGGCCUCAGUUUCCCCAUGUGCAGAUUGAAGCAAGGAUGAUAGCACCAAGCUCUGUCAUCCCCCUUGUGCCCAGUGGGGCAAGAGAAAAUCUAGCCCAUCGCAUGGAUCCUUCCAGGCCCUUGAGCCUCACUUGUAAUUUGGGGCCCAGGUUUUAUUUUCUUUUCCCGCAGAUCUAAGGCACCUCCCAGCUCGUGUGUUUUUUCAACAUGAUGCAAUGAGCGUCCGUUAGCUUGGCGGGGUCUGGGCCACGUCCCCGGCAGACGUCCCCGGUGUCAGUGUGAGUUGCUGGCAGCUGCCCGGAGGGGAGGAAGGUGGGCCCGCUUAGAUGUGUCCCAGCUGUGGCCCCGACUGUCCCCUCACUUCUGCUGAGAGGGGAGUGGGGAGGUGCUCUGGGCACGGAGCCUGGUGUGUGCUGUUCCACCUGUGGGAUCGGAGGCUGUAUCUCCAUUCAUGCCAGGGUUUGGGUCCUGAGAGCAUCACAGCACGGUUUGUGGUUUGCGUGUCAGGAUGAAAGAACUGAACCAGUGCUCUUGGCCAGGUCCACCAGUUUGGUAACUGUGGUUACCUGCAGAGAAGGGUUAUAAAAACCCUGCAGAGAAGCAUCUAGAAAAUGUUCCUCCUGCUCCUAAUAGUUGCCCCAAAGAGCUCGUUUCAAAAUACAAGGAUCACAGGGCCCUGCCCAUCAGGGGAGCUGGUGCAGGGCCACCCUGGGUCUGCCUGAGCUUGCCCCCUGCCCCAGAGCCCACUUGGUGCUCACUUGCCCCCAAGCCCUGGCUUCCAGGACCUCUGGGAGAAGCUCAGUUGGGUCUGGUUUGCUGUUGAGACCAGCCCAUUUCCUUCCCAGCAGGGAGAGCCAGGCUGAGCCUGGUCCCCAGGUCAGGAACGGUGAGGCGAGAACUGAUCAGGGUGAGAGGUGGAGAGCCGGAGCACAGCUCCCAAAUCCAGGAUUGGGGGGUGCCCACCUCCAACGGCAGGGCUGCAGGGGAGCCCUGUGACCCCGGGGCUGCACAGAAUGGCCACCUCUGGGUUGACACUCUGGUGGUUUUAUGAAUGAGCAGUACCUUCUUAAAAUGUCGCCUAAAGGGGAUAAACUGAAAGAGCCAUCUGUGGACCGGUGAUGGCUGGUAUUGGGAUUGAAGACUGUCAUCAGUCCAGUUCCGUGUAUCCCUGGAUAUAAGGAUGAUGACAGAGAUGCUAAUACUGCUGCUGCCUGGAUGGGUGGAAGGCUGAGGGCGCUGAUCCGCUCAGCCAGUCACAUGGCCCCCGUGUUUAUCUUGAGGAACAUCCAGGCUGGCUGAAACUCUCCAUCCUCCCCUCUGCCGUGCUCCAGCCUGAGUUUCUCGUCCUUCGCCCAUUCGCACCUAGACCCGUGCAGCACCCCUGAGUUUCAUGCCAUGGCUGUUCGUUUCUCGUUGGAUUAGAAGCAUCCCAAAGGUGGGAGCAGCUCUGCUCCAGCUCCAUGUCCCCAGGGCUGGCCUUGCCAUUCCCAACAGCCCUGCUGGGGCUGGACACUGCGGUUGUGGUCGGACAUGUGCUCACACAGUUGGACUUGGUUUUGUGACUGAGCCCUCUUGUCUUGGAAGGUUGUUUACAUGGAGCCCGUGGAGGUGUGGUUGGCGGAGCACAGGACUUCCCCUGGGUGAUUCCGAUGGGUGUAUGCCUUCCUUCGCUGGGUGAGUUCUGCUUUUCUGGGCGACACUCUAAGAGGCAUGUGCGCCAGUGACCAAGCGUCAGGCAUGGUCUAGGAAAGGUAAAGCCUGGAGGGGGUCCUAGGAGAGCUGGGGCACACAUGCAGGUCCCAGAGGAGCCCACCUGGGGCAGUGGCAGGGAGCAGUGGGGCCAUUUCUGGCAGCUGCUUCUCUGAGUGGAGGGUGAAGCCAUUCAGAAGUUACCCAGGGCAAAGAGGUGAGGUCAGACACCUGGCCUUCAUCUCUGGUCCCACCCAAUUGGUCACUUUGCAGCUGACUGGACACCAGAGUCCUUUUUAGGACUCAGGGUUACCUUCACACCUUGCCCCACACUGAAUCUCUUUUACAAAUUAUGCAGAUAAUUUCAUUUCUGUAGUGGAGAAUGAAGAAGGCGGAGUCAUGUGAGUUUUUCCUAGAAAAGAUACUAAGCUGAUAACUAAAACUUAUUACAUGUAAUAAUUCUAGAAAAAGAAACACAUUUAUUGCCAAACACUGAACAGAACAAGAGGAAGAACAGGACUCACCCUAGUCUCAUCACUCAAAGAUGACCACUGCCAGCAUUUUGAAGACCAGCUUCUGGUCUUUUGGUUUCACCUGUAAAUUGCAAAAGUGAGUGUGUGUGUGUGUGUGUAUACAAAUGUACACACAUUUUUAUUUGGGUUCAUCAUAGCCAUCCUAAUUUUUCACCUAAGUAGACAUCCUAAACAUGUCCCAUGCCAUUAAGUAAUUUCCUAUCUUAUGAUUUUUUUUUAACCUAGUAUCCUAGCAAAUGACUAUAUCAUAAUUGAUUUAAUUGACGCACUCUUGUCAGAUAUUUACAUGAUUUUUAAAAGUUGGAUGAUAGAAGUUGGAGUGAGCAGCUAUGUUUUUCCAUCUUCACGUAUGUCUCUUAUUUGUACUCGUAAGAGUGGAGUGGCCAUGUCAAAAGGUGCGAGCGUUUUAUGGCCAAAUUGUCCCCCUUGAACUUUGUACCAAUUUACAUUCUCAGAAUUAGUUUAACAAGUGACUUUCUCUGGGAAUUAUCAAGGUUUUAAACAUUCAUCAAUUUGUCAAAUUUCAUUCUUCUCAUUUUCAGUUCUUUUAUUAUCUGUGAUAAGAGCAUUUCCCCCAUAUCUUUAUUGGUUCUCUAUAGCUGAAUUGCCAGUUCAGUUUCUUUGCUUUAUUCAGCUUUCAUUAAGUUUUAUUUUUGUCAAAGUCAUGCAUAUGCUUCAUUUUAAGAGUCAGAUAGCUGUACAAGAUUAUGUAGAAGCAUCCUUCUCCACUCCAAUUCCAUAUCCACCUAAGCUACAGCUUUUUACUCUUUUAAAUGGUUCUUUUGCCAUUUACAACAAUUUUUCUAAGUAACAUUCUGAUUUUUCUAGUUCUCAAAAAAAAAUUUUUUUUUUUGACUUAGGCAUUACCUUGACUUUUCAACCACAGAAAAUGAAGAUUGAAAUCUUUCACCUUUGGCCUCAACACACACAAGAAUACCUGUCUGUCCCCUUCUUUUAAUUUAUUUAGCUCAGUUUUGGUUUGAUCAGUAUUCCAUCUUUAUAUAUUACAACAGUGUAAAUACUUGAGAGUUCAACAACAGCACUGUGAUUUUUUACUUUUCCUUGCAACUUUUGUUUUCUCUGGAGUCAAUAAUUUUUUGGUUUUGUCUUUCUUUUUUCCUUCUCUCUUUGGUUGGUUAUUAAUGAACUUAUCCCAAAUUCAUCUCCAGCCUUUCAUGACAUCCAAACACAUUAGUGUUUUUCGUUUUAUUUAAUGUGUUUAUCUUUUUGAAGACUUCUCUUCCUGGAGCCUCCUUCCCUCUUUUGUUCAGGAUGGGCUCGUCUUUGGGCUUUCUGCCCUUAUCGUGGAAUCACUUCCUCAUUACUUCCUGGGGAUUCUCCUUGGUCGGAUCCCUAGUUUUGUAAAUCCUGUGUUAUUCUCAUUUUUUGUUUACUCCCUUGUUUAGCUAGAGUGCAUCCUCUAGCAGUUUCCUGGUAAAGGGUCCAUGGGAGGUAAAUCUUUGGAGAUCUUUCACAUAAGAAAAGGGUAAUGUCUAGUCCACACUGAUGGUGAUAGUUUAGCUUGGUACAGAAUUCUAGUUGGUACCUUUUUUCCCCUUCAGAUUUGAAAAGCAUAAAUAGUUGUCUUCUGGCUUCCCGUGAUAUUGAUCGGAAGUCUGAAGACUUCUGAUUCCCAUCCCUUGUAUGUGAUCUUCUGUUACCCUCCCUUUCCGGAACUUCUGGUCUUUUCUCACUGUGUUUUGAAUUCCGUGUGUAUAUAUUUUGAUGUGGUCUACAUUCGUCCGUUUGGCCAGGCCCUUUUGAUCUGAAAGCGUAUGUCUUUCAGUUGUGGAUAUUUCUUGUUCAAUUCCUCGGACAAUGGCCUCCCGUCUGUUUCCUCUUAAACUUAUAUUGAGCUUGGAUCGUAUGUUGGAUCUCUUUGACAGGUUCUCUGCUUUUCACGUAUUUUUCCUCUGAUUUUCGUAUCUUAAUCUCUUUGUUCUCUUACUGAGCAAUUACUCUGUCUUCAUUUUUUAAUCUAUUUUCAUUUCUGCAAUCUCUGAUUUUCAAGAAUUUUUCAUUACACUCUAAAUAUUGUUUUAUUGAAUUUUGUUUCAUGGAUGCAAUCGCUUCUUUGAUAUUUCUAAAAAUAUUAAUAUUAGUUUUUUGAAAUUGUCUUUCUCUUAAAGAGUCUUCAAACUUUUUUUUUUCCUUCCAAGUGUGUGUCAUUGUCUAACUUUCAUUUUAGGUUCUUUUCUCAAGUCUUUGGUUGUAUAGAUAGAUAUAUAGAUAUAAUUGAUAUUGAUAGAUAUAUAUAUACAAUGCACACAUCCAGAUAAACUACAGAACUAUUUGGAAGCUCUCAGUCUGUGGUUGGGUCUUGUAAACUAUGGAGUUUACUGUAGAGAGAGCUAACUGGUCUUUGUAUUGUGGAACCCCAGGUUUUAGCAUUUUUAUGUCUUUUUCUUUUAGAUUGAUUGGAUGAUCCAAAGAGUUUCUGAUCUAGAAUUUUACUAGUUGCUGGUGCUCUGUGAGGUUUGUGAAGGAAGACUGAGUGGUCUGAACAUCCAGCUUGAAGAGUUUGCCUUCUUUCUCUUUUGAUGUAGGGCUCUGGCCCUCGGCUGUGCAUGCAUCUCUGCUCCAGUCACCUCUGCCUUGCUCUCUGCAUGUAAUGCCUUUUCAGUCUUCUCUCCAGGUUAGGGAAGGCUUUGCCUAACGGGUGAAGACUGGGGGCUCUGUCUUCUUCUUUAACAGACUUUUAGCCAGUUGAUCUUAUUUAGGCCCAGGCUUUCCUGGAGGUUCCUGAGACUUCUGUGGGUUCUGUUGACUACACUGGCCUUUAUUUCAGCUGUCCUCACUGCCAGUCCAGGGUCCCAGCUCUGAAUCAGUUCCAAAUCUCCUAUUGUCUUGUGUUUGUCCUCUGUACUCAUGCUCAAGAUCAAAAUCUCUCUUUCAUUUAGCGCAGUUUCAAGAGCAAAGGCUGGUGGAUAUCUAUAUGCUAUUCACUAUGCUGAACUCAAAGUCAUUUACCCAUCUCUCUCUACUGCUAUAUCUAUUAUUUUUAUUUUAUUAAUACCUUUCAAAGUAAGAAUAGUAACUGUUUUUCCAUCCUAUGUUACCAAUGUCCUGCCCCCGCCCCCAUUUUUCAUUUACCAUUCCAUUUUGUUCAUGGAGCAUUUAACUUUUUAUUUACAAUUUUUAUUUUCUAAAAAAUCUAUGACUAAUUUUUUCUUAUAGUUAUUUCUUACUUAGAAAGACAUUUCCUACCCCAAGCUCAUAUGUUUAGUCACAUUUUUUUUUCUAGUUCCUUCAUGAUUUCUUCUCUAUAUUGAAUCUUUACUCCUUUAAUUGAAUUAUUGUAAGAAACAACUUUUUGCUCCAUUUCCACAUGCUACAUGUUAGAUAGUUUUUGUUUCUCACUGUGGCUUUCUAUUUGACAUUAAUCUGUCUAUUCUUAUCCUAGUAUUGCUGUUAUAAUAGAUCAUAUUGUUAAAAUAUGUAUUAUUAUUUGAUAGAAAUAGUCUUCCUUCAUUCUUAUUUUUCAAGAUUUUCUUGAUUAGUCUCACUUGUUAUUUUUCCAGGUGAAUUUUAGUGAUAUAGCGAAGUUAAAAACAUUCCUUAUAGAUUUUCUGUGAAAUUUUAUAAAAUUAUAAAGAGAAUUGGUAUGUUUUGACACUUGGGCUUUACAUCUUUUAUAGUUUAUAAUAUAUAGUCACAAUUCAUCAAAUUUGACAAAUUCACAAUUUGUUAUUGAGUUUAUUUCAAGGAACUACAUAUUGCUUCUGUUGUGAAUUUUUCUUGUAUUUUCUAACUGGUUAUUACUGGUAUGUAGGGAAGAGAUUAUGUAUCUAUUGUUAUUGUCUAUCUCAUUAAAUUUUCUCAUAUGUUCUACAAGUUUUCAGUUGAAUGUUUUGGAAUUUCUAGGUAAAGUGUCAUAUACAAUUAUAGAAAAAUUUUGAAAAUAUUUUAUCUCUUUUACUUUUCUUUCUUGUCUUAUAGUAUUGUCUAGAUCUUCCAAAACAUUAAAUUGUUGAUAACAAAUCUUUGUCUCAUUUCUGGUUCAUGUUAAUUAUGAUAACAGGUACUUUUUAAGGCUGUAUGUUUUUUAUAAUGCUAAUUAAGUAUCUACUUCAUGUAUGAUUAAAAUCAGGAAUGGAUUAGAAUUUCCUGAAAUACUUUUUUGAUAUCUGUAGAGAUACUUGUGUUGUUUUUCUCCAUUGAUCUAUUGAUGAAAUGAAUUAUAAUAAUGUUUCAUAACUUUGAAACAUUUUUGGGUCAAAUUCUACCUGGUUUUCGUUUAUUGUUCUUUUAAUAUACUUCAUGAUUUGGUCUGCUAGUAUUUGGAAUUAAAGUUUUGGUCAUUUGAUAUCAAAGUUAUGCUAGCUUUGUAAAAUGAAUUAGGGAGCAUUCCAUCUUUUUCUGUGUUCUGUACCAUAUGUACAUCAUUUAAAUGAUCUAUUUCAUGGAAAACUUGAAAAAACAUAGCUAUAUAACUCUCCUGGGAUAAUUCUGGCAACCUUUUCUAUUUCUUCUGUAUUUAUUGGAUACUUUAGAUUUCCUAAAUCUUUAGAUUGUUUGCUUCUUUUUCUCAUAUAGCUUAGUGUUUACAUGUGCAGGCACUGGAAUCAGACAACUUGGGUUCAAAUUCUUGCUCUCUCAUUUCUCAUGUGACCUCAGGAAAACUAUGUCUUCUCCCUAAUUCUUAGUUUGUGCACUUGUUAAAUGGAUAAUAAGAGCCUGAAGCCAAGAGGGCUGCUGUGAGAAUUAAAGAGAUAAAGUGUCUUGCAUUGAGUCUGGCACAUAGUGAGUGCGCUGUGAUUCUUUUAAAGCUAAUAUUAAUCCUAGAAAAUAAUCUAUGUUUUGAGAUGUAAAUACUUCUUAGUAUAGAAUUGUAAGUAGUAUUUGUAUAAUAAAAUUUAUUUCUAUAUCGUCUUUAUCAUUCUUAA